AGCCUAAACCAGUGGUCGCUGGCAUGGUGAAAGAAACCGCGACGAACUUAAAGAACCCGUUAUUAGGGCGUUCGUCGCGUUACCAGGGGAAACUCUGGUAGAGGUGUCCGAAAGGACCC
rnacentral:sRNA from 1 species